AUGGUGAGAGCCGGCAGCGGCGUCUGGAUGGCCUUCUCCUCUGGCUCCUCCAUCCGCCUCUUUCACACUGAGACCCUGGAGCAUCUCCAAGAGAUCAACAUUGCCACCAGGACUACUUUCCUCCUGCCAGGCCAGAAGCACCUGUGUGUAACCAGCCUCCUUAUCUGCCAGGGUUUGCUCUGGGUAGGCACUGAUCAAGGUGUCAUUGUCUUGUUGCCUGUGCCCCGGCUGGAGGGCAUCCCUAAGAUAACAGGGAAAGGCAUGGUGUCUCUCAAUGGUCAUUGUGGACCUGUGGCCUUUCUAGCUGUGGCCAUGAGCAUCUUGGCCCCUGACAUCCUGAGGAGUGACCAGGAAGAGGCUGAGGGGCCUCAGGCUGAGGAGGACAAGUCAGAUGGGCAGGCUCACGAACCAGUGCCUGCACCUGAUAGCCACACAGGCCGAGAACUGACCCGCAAGAAAGGCAUACUGCUUCAAUACCGCCUGCGCUCCACAGCUCACCUCCCCGGGCCCCUGCUGUCGGUGCGGGAGCCAGCACCCACUGAUGGCUCGGCUCUGGAGCACAGUGAGGAGGAUGGUUCCAUCUAUGAGAUGGCCGACGACCCCGAUGUCUGGGUACGAAGCCGGCCCUGUGCCCGUGAUGCCCAUCGCAAAGAGAUCUGUUCUGUGGCCAUCAUCUCCGGUGGGCAAGGCUACCGCCACUUUGGCAGUGCUCCAGGUGGCCUGAGUGGGCGGCCAGCCCCAUGUAGCGAGACAGACAGCACACUUCUUAUCUGGCAGGUGCCCUUGGCUCUAUAGCUCUCCACCCUGUCAAUCUGGAGGUCACAGGGCAGCUGGACCACUGCAGACAUGCAGACCCUUUUUGGCCCACCUGGGUUCCCCUCAGGGACCUGUACAAGCCACAAGACAGGCCUGGAUUCUCCACUGAGGCCUUGAAGAGCAGAGAAACCUCUGCAAACAAAAAUUCAGAAUGUUUUGGGGAGGGUUUUAGGGUCUUGGGGAAUGGAAGGACACACUUGGAGAAUAUGGCCUUUUUGUUUUGUUUUGUUUUGGAAGCAAAAAACAUAAAACCUCACCACUGCCUGCUGAACCUAGAACCUUUUGUCAGGGCUGAGUGAGGCUCGGAGGUGGCCGUGCCCCUCCAGGAAGGAUGUAUGUGUGAGUGUCUGAGCAUGUGGGCUAGCGUGUGAAUAUAUAUAUGAAUACGAAUAUACAAUGUAUAUUAUUAUGUGUAUAAAUACAAUCUGUACAUAAUGGGUCUCUGGGAGAUGCUGGAAUAAAAGGCAAGAGAUAUGUGGGCCCUGUGGGGUUUAUGGGAUGUUAUGGGAUGGGACACAGUGAAUGACUACUGCCAGACAGGGGGUACUGGGGACCAGGCGCCACCAUGCUCCAGCAUGAAGGAUUGAAGCCAGGACCAGGUUGGAGGCCACUCAGGAACACACUUCAGAAGGCACUGUGCAAGGCAGUUGUCAGUAGAUAUCCACAGCCACUUAAUUUGCAUAUUAAUGAUUUGGUCUGUCAUCUCUUAGCCAUAUUUCAGGUGUGGCUGGAAAAGCCCUGCUGGAUGAAUAUUCAGCCGGUUGGACAACAUACAUGAGCAUUGUUUUCAUCGUGGCAGAAGGUUCUCUUGCUCGAGGAGGGCCUCUUGGGUGUCUUCUGGAGUGUCUUGGAGAAAGGCUGGUUACCUCCCUCUGGAGAGGUCCUGGUGUAUGAGGCAGUGAGAAGAGGGUGGCCCGUGGGCUUCUCAGUGACUGGGGCCCAAGAUCUUACGCAGGGAGGGGCUGCUUCCGAGUCUGGAGACAUUGGAGGCAUUGAUGAAUACCAGGUGGGCCCAUGGCAGGCUGCCGGAAAGGACCAAUGAUGGAGGCUCUUACCUCUCCUGGCUCCACCCAUCUCGAGAGUUCAAGCAACUGCUGCAGGGAGAAAAAAUAAAGUUUAAAGCCACUGC
ensembl:lincRNA